rnacentral:rRNA from 1 species
CUUUCUUUGCGGCGACCGGCGCACGGGUGAGUAACACGUAUCCAACCUGCCCUUUACUCGGGGAUAGCCUUUCGAAAGAAAGAUUAAUACCCGAUGGCAUAAUGAUUCCGCAUGGUUUCAUUAUUAAAGGAUUCCGGUAAAGGAUGGGGAUGCGUUCCAUUAGGUUGUUGGUGAGGUAACGGCCCACCAAGCCUUCGAUGGAUAGGGGUUCUGAGAGGAAGGUCCCCCACAUUGGAACUGAGACACGGUCCAAACUCCUACGGGAGGCAGCAUG